rnacentral:rRNA from 1 species
GAUGAACGCUGGCGGCGUGCCUAAUACAUGCAAGUCGAGCGAACAGACGAGGAGCUUGCUCCUCUGACGUUAGCGGCGGACGGGUGAGUAACACGUGGAUAACCUACCUAUAAGACUGGGAUAACUUCGGGAAACCGGAGCUAAUACCGGAUAAUAUAUUGAACCGCAUGGUUCAAUAGUGAAAGACGGUUUUGAUGUCACUUAUAGAUGGAUCCGCGCCGCAUUAGCUAGUUGGUAAGGUAACGGCUUACCAAGGCAACGAUGCGUAGCCGACCUGAGAGGAUGAUCGGCCACACUGGAACUGAGACACGGUCCAGACUCCUACGGGAGGCAGCAGUAGGGAAUCUUCCGCAAUGGGCGAAAGCCUGACGGAGCAACGCCGCGUGAGUGAUGAAGGUCUUCGGAUCGUAAAACUCUGUUAUUAGGGAAGAACAAAUGUGUAAGUAACUAUGCACGUCUUGACGGUACCUAAUCAGAAAGCCACGGCUAACUACGUG